CUGAGCUAUACAGUUUACUGGAGCAACCUACUUUACAGUUUUCUUACUGGAGUAUUUCUAAAACUGGAAUGAUCAUGAUUUUUUGUGAAAAGAUUGGAGGACCUACCAAAUGGAGACAUUGCAAUGUGUUACAGAAUCCAGGAUGCUCCAGCUGCUGCUCUGCUUCAUCCUGCUCUGCUUCAUCAACGCGGACAAUGACGAGGGACGGCUCCGACAGUUGAGGCGAAAACGAUCGACCUUGCGUCCAUGCCUUCUCGUCGAGAAGAAAGACGGCGGGAGAAGGUUGCAGGGUGCAGGCCGGAGGGACGGCUACAGGGUCGGAGGAGAAGCUUGCCCGGCGGUGCCGGCCUCCUCGAGGCGGACGCAUGGGCGCAGGAGGUGAGCGGUGACCGGCGGCGAGAAGCGAGCUCGGCGGAGUGGCCUGCGGGAGAAGGCUGCUGGCGCGGCCGCCGGGGAGGGAUGAGCUAGCCCGGCGGCGCCGCCCUCCUCGAGGCGGACCCAUGGACGCAGGAGGCGAGCAGCGACCGCCGGUGAGAGGCGAGCUUGGUGGAGUGGCCUGCGGGAGAAGGCUGCAGGCGUGGCCGUCAAGGAGGGAUGAGAUACUGGCCCAGCGGCGCCGCCCUCCUUGAGGCGGAACCAUGCGCGACGCGAACUUCGGCGGCGUGAUCUCCGGCGGAACCAUGCGCGGCGCGAUCUCCAGGGAGGCUGGCGGCGUGAUCUCCGGCGGAACCAUGGCGAGAGGCGAUCUCCAGGGAGGCUGGCGGCAGCGCGAGCUCUACGUAGGCCGGCGGCGACAGUCAAGUUCGAUGCAGGCCGGCGGCGCUAGGCGAGCUCGACGGAGGCUGGCGAAUCGCGGGAGGCCGCCGGCCCGCCGGCGCCAGCGCUCGAUCGGGACGAUCAGAUCGAUUGAUCGGGAGUCGAUCGUUUCGACUUUGAAAGCGGGAGGACCAAAAUGUAAAAAAACGGUUCAACUAUGUGUCCGACACCUAAA